rnacentral:rRNA from 1 species
CCCGCUGAACUUAAGCAUAUCAAUAAGCGGAGGAAAAGAAACCAACAGGGAUUGCCUCAGUAACGGCGAGUGAAGCGGCAACAGCUCAAAUUUGAAAGCUGGCUCCUUCGGGGCCCGCGUUGUAAUUUGUAGAGGAUGCUUCGGGUGCGGCGCCAGUCUAAGUUCUUUGGAAUAAGACGUCAUAGAGGGUGAGAAUCCCGUCUGUGACUGGUUGCCUGUGCCCGUGUGAAGCUCCUUCGACGAGUCGAGUUGUUUGGGAAUGCAGCUCAAAAUGGGAGGUAUAUUUCUUCUAAAGCUAAAUAUUGGCCAGAGACCGAUAGCGCACAAGUAGAGUGAUCGAAAGAUGAAAAGCACUUUGGAAAGAGAGUUAAACAGUACGUGAAAUUGUUGAAAGGGAAGCGCUUGCAAUCAGACUUGCGCGGCGUCGAUCAGCCUGGGUUCUCCCUGGUGCACUCGGCGCCGCUCAGGCCAGCAUCAGUUUCGGCGGUAGGAUAAAGGCUUAGGGAACGUGGCUCGCUUCGGCGAGCGUUAUAGCCCUAGGUGCAAUGCUGCCUGCCGGGACUGAGGACCGCGCUUCGGCUAGGAUGCUGGCGUAAUGGUUGUAAGCGACCCGUCUUGAAACACGG